UGGUGGAGCAUGUGGUUNANUUCGAUGCAACGCGAAGAACCUUACCUACUCUUGACAUCUAGAGAAUCCAGCGGAGACGCAGGAGUGCCUUCGGGAACUCUAAGACAGGUGCUGCAUGGCUGUCGUCAGCUCGUGUUGUGAAAUGUUGGGUUAAGUCCCGCAACGAGCGCAACCCUUAUCCUUGUUUGCCAGCGAGUAAUGUCGGGAACUCCAGGGAGACUGCCGGUGAUAAACCGGAGGAAGGUGGGGACGACGUCAAGUCAUCAUGGCCCUUACGAGUAGGGCUACACACGUGCUACAAUGGCGCAUACAGAGGGCAGCAAGCUAGCGAUAGUGAGCGAAUCCCAAAAAGUGCGUCGUAGUCCGGAUUGGAGUCUGCAACUNGACUCCANNNAGUC
rnacentral:rRNA from 1 species